rnacentral:rRNA from 1 species
UAACACGUGAGUAACCUGCCCUUAACUCUGGGAUAAGCCUGGGAAACUGGGUCUAAUACCGGAUAGGAGCGCCCACCGCAUGGUGGGUGUUGGAAAGAUUUAUCGGUUUUGGAUGGACUCGCGGCCUAUCAGCUUGUUGGUGAGGUAAUGGCUCACCAAGGCGACGACGGGUAGCCGGCCUGAGAGGGUGACCGGCCACACUGGGACUGAGACACGGCCCAGACUCCUACGGGAGGCAGCAGUGGGGAAUAUUGCACAAUGGGCGAAAGCCUGAUGCAGCGACGCCGCGUGAGGGAUGACGGCCUUCGGGUUGUAAACCUCUUUCAGUAGGGAAGAAGCGAAAGUGACGGUACCUGCAGAAGAAGCACCGGCUAACUACGUGCCAGCAGCCGCGGUAAUACGUAGGGUGCGAGCGUUAUCCGGAAUUAUUGGGCGUAAAGAGCUCGUAGGCGGUUUGUCGCGUCUGUCGUGAAAGUCCGGGGCUUAACCCCGGAUCUGCGGUGGGUACGGGCAGACUAGAGUGCAGUAGGGGAGACUGGAAUUCCUGGUGUAGCGGUGGAAUGCGCAGAUAUCAGGAGGAACACCGAUGGCGAA